UAUCUUGAAAGCGUCAUUUUCCAGUUUAUUUUGACCUCUCACUUUAGGCGCUAUGCCGUCGCGAUGUAAUUUAAUGGCGUUUCUGUCAACAAUCUUUGAAGACAAAAAUCUCAAAUUCCCACGGUUCGUUUUCGCUAUUUUUUUAACAAUUAGUUAAACAAAAGCAUAACCUUUAAUUCUAUCCAGCCGGCCCCCCUCGGUCCCGCAACCGUUUUCGAGAUAUUCAC